AUUGAACGCUGGCGGCAGGCCUAACACAUGCAAGUCGAACGAGUGGCGGACGGGUGAGUAAUGUCUGGGCAACUGCCUGAUGGAGGGGGAUAACUAAUGGAAACGGUAGCUAAUACCGCAUACCAUCAGAUGUGCCCAGAUGGGAUUAGCUAGUUGGUGGGGUAACGGAGCACCAGGGCGACAAUCCCUAGCGGGUAUGAGAGGAUGACCAGCCACACUGGAACUGAGACACGGUCCAGACUCCUACGGGAGGCAGCAGUGGGGAAUAUGGCACAAUGGGCGCAAGCCUGAUGCAGCCAUGCCGCGUGUAUGAAGAAGGCCUUCGGGUUGUAAAGUACUUUCAGCGGGGAGGCGUUACCCGCAGAAGAAGCACCGGCUAACUCCGUGCCAGCAGCCGCGGUAAUUC
rnacentral:rRNA from 1 species